rnacentral:rRNA from 1 species
CCUACGGGGGGCAGCAGUGAGGAAUAUUGGUCAAUGGCCGGAAGGCUGAACCAGCCAAGCCGCGUGAAGGACGAAGGUGCCAAGCAUUGUAAACUUCUUUUGUCAAGGGACAAAAUCAGGCUCGAGAGCCUGACCGAGGGUACUUGAAGAAAAAGCAUCGGCUAACUCCGUGCCAGCAGCCGCGGUAAGACGGAGGAUGCGAGCGUUAUCCGGAUUGGGUGGGGUUAAAGGGUGCGUCGGCGGGCUGUUCAGGCAGCGGGCACAGCCCGGGGCUCAACCCCGGCGAGCCGUUGAAACUGGCUGUCGUGGGCUGUCGAGCGGUAUGCGGAAUGCGCAGUGUAGCGGUGAAAUGCUUAGAUAUUGCGCAGAACUCCGAUUGCGCAGGCAGCAUACCGGCGGCGAUCUGACGCUGAGGCACGAACGCGUGGGUAUCGAACAGGAUUAGAUACCCUGGUAGUC